rnacentral:tRNA from 1 species
GAGAGAGGUCCGACGACAACUGGAGACUGCUAACUUUUAUUUCUAGGGUUAAACCCCCUGGCUCACUCG